rnacentral:rRNA from 1 species
UACGUAGAUGGCGAGCGUUAUCCGGAUUUACUGGGCGUAAAGGGAGCGUAGGCGGAUGAUUAAGUGGGAUGUGAAAUACCCGGGCUCAACUUGGGUGCUGCAUUCCAAACUGGUUAUCUAGAGUGCAGGAGAGGAGAGUAGAAUUCCUAGUGUAGCGGUGAAAUGCGUAGAGAUUAGGAAGAACACCAGUGGCGAAGGCGACUCUCUGGACUGUAACUGACGCUGAGGCUCGAAAGCGCGGGGAGCAAACAGG